AUGAACAGUAAGAGAGCCCCAGGGCCUGACAAUAUACCUGCUGAAUUUUAUCAGCAUUGUUGGGAGAUUGUUAAAAAAGAUAUAAUGAAUCUUUUCUUAGCCUUUUAUGAGGGGAGAUUGGAUGUGCAUAGGCUUAACUAUGGCAUUAUCACUCUGCUCCCAAAAGUUAACGGAGCUAAUAAGAUUCAGCAAUUCAGACCCAUCUGUUUGCUUAGAUGUCCUUAUAAAUUGAUCACCAAAGUUCUAGAUAAUAGAGCAGCUCCCUACGCUGAUGUCUUGUUCAGUAAACACCAAAAUGCCUUCAUUAAAAAUAGGCACAUCAUGGAUGGGAUCAUGUCCCUCCAUGAGAUCCUACAUUACACCCAUAUUAGGAAGAAAGUGGGGAUUGUCAUUAAGCUAGAUUUUGAGAAAGCUUAUGACAAGGUGAAUUGGGAGUUUUUGCUACAAAGCUUAGAAAACAGAGGUUUUGGCACCACUUGGUGCGGGUGGAUGAAGAAAAUCAUUCAAAAUGGAACAACUAGUGUCAAAUUAAAUAAUACUUUGGGUCCAUACUUCCAAAGUUACAAAGGAGUAAGACAAGGAGACUCUAUUUCUCCAUUCUUAUUUAACAUUGCAGCUGAAUGUUUGUCCAAAAUGGUGCGCCAAGCACAAAAUAAUGGACUGAUCACUGGGCUUGCCCCUGAAAUAGUGGAAAACGGUGUGGCCAUCCUACAGUAUGUUGAUGACACAGUGAUUUGCAUCGAGCAUGACCCUGAGAAAGCCCUAAAUAUGAAAAUAUUGCACUAUAUGUUUGAGCUAAUGUCAAGAUUGAAAAUCAAUUUCCAUAAAAGUGAGAUUUUGUGUGUUGGAGGGGAUGAUGAUGUUCUGACAACAUAUGCUGAUAUGUUUAAUUGUCAAAUUGGGCAUUUCCCCAUGAAAUACCUGGGAGUACCAGUAAGCUACUCAACUUUAAAAGGAGUGGACUGGGAAUUUUUGGAAGAAAGGUACAUUAAAAGAUGCGAGUCUGGUUUAGGGAGUAAUGCUUCCUGGGAGGUAGACUAA
rnacentral:rRNA from 1 species